rnacentral:lncRNA from 1 species
GGAUCGUCUAAUCUCUUGUUUGGAAGAGGUAAGAGAAGAUCCUGACCUUCCUUUCUUGAUUUUUGAAGGUUUUAUGAAGUUUGUAUGGGUAGUAUGCAUGUUUAGGUUUAGGUGAGGUUUUUGAUGAUCUUUGAGUUGAAGCAUGUUUAAGUGUUGUUAGAUGUGUUUGUUUGGGGUUUUAGGAUAGUUUUAGACCCCUUUGUGCAUAUUUAUGUGUAUGUGCUAGUUGGGAGUAGUUGAUAUGCAUGUUGUAGGUUUUUGGGCAAAGUUUGCAUGAAACAGAGCAAGGUUCUGUCCCCUGAACAAAACCAGGUUCGGCCGUCGAAAGAAGGUUCGGCCGCCGAACAUGC